AAACAUAUUUCAGCUUCUUAGUUUUGUUCAUAAAACAGUGGUCUUUCUUUACGCCUCAGGUAAAACCUGUAAAUCUUUCUUGUAUUCUUUGAAGAUCCAGAUGUUAUUCCUCUGUUCCAGUUUAUAUCACUUGAAACUUAUCUCCAGUAGUUCAUAGAAUUAGAAGUUUCUGUUGACAUUCAUAGACAGAAAGAGAGGGGCCUCACAUGAUAAUAGGUGAAGAGAGUUGACAAUAUAAAGUGAAAGGGGAAAAGAAAUGGCUAUUCUGAUGGAGGAAAAAGAGGAUUCAGUUCAAGAAAAGCAUUUUGGAAUAGAGAUGCAGGUGAGUAAUGAGGUUAUGGGUAGGAAAAAGAUGGUGAAGAAAAGCUGGGUUGAAUCAAAGAAGAUGUGGGAAAUAGCAGCACCUGCUAUGUUGACAGCAGUAGCCCAAUUCUCUAUUGGGUUCGUCACUUCUGCAUUUGUUGGCCAUUUGGGAGAGGUGGAGCUGGCUGCUGUUUCCAUUGUUCAGAAUGUAAUUGAAGGCUUUGUUUAUGGUGUGAUGCUAGGGAUGGGAAGUGCACUGGAGACACUAUGUGGGCAAGCUGUUGGUGCUGGACAACUCAACAUGCUUGGAAUCUAUAUGCAAAGAUCAUGGAUCAUUACUGGGGUCACAGCAUUGGUUUUAACACCUUUUUANNNUUCACCAUUACUGCAACUACUUCAUCAAGAUAAAAACAUUUCAAAGCUUGCUGGAAAGUACUCCAUAUGGGUAAUUCCUCAAUUGUUUGCCUACGCCAUAAAUUUCCCAA
rnacentral:misc_RNA from 1 species